rnacentral:rRNA from 1 species
GAUGAACGCUGGCGGCGUGCCUAAUACAUGCAAGUCGAGCGAACAGACGAGGAGCUUGCUCCUCUGACGUUAGCGGCGGACGGGUGAGUAACACGUGGAUAACCUACCUAUAAGACUGGGAUAACUUCGGGAAACCGGAGCUAAUACCGGAUAAUAUAUUGAACCGCAUGGUUCAAUAGUGAAAGACGGUUUUGCUGUCACUUAUAGAUGGAUCCGCGCCGCAUUAGCUAGUUGGUAAGGUAACGGCUUACCAAGGCAACGAUGCGUAGCCGACCUGAGAGGGUGAUCGGCCACACUGGAACUGAGACACGGUCCAGACGCCGACGGGAGGCAGCAGUAGGGAAUCUUCCGCAAUGGGCGAAAGCUUGACGGAGCAACGCCGCGUGAGUGAUGAAGGUCUUCGGAUCGUAAAACUCUGUUAUUAGGGAAGAACAAAUGUGUAAGUAACGAUGCACGUCUUGACGGUACCUAAUCAGAAAGCCACGGCUAACUACGU